rnacentral:tRNA from 1 species
GGGGGCGUAGCUCAAUUGGUUAGAGUGGCGGCCUGUCGAGCCGUAGGUUGCGGGUUCGAAUCCCGUCGCCCCCG